GGGGAUAAAAACACGGCCCGGUCGGUAGUCCGGGCACGGCAAAUGCCGUCAGUAACCUGCCUCCUUGGUUGUCCGUUCCCC
rnacentral:ncRNA from 1 species